rnacentral:rRNA from 1 species
CCUACGGGAGGCAGCAGUGAGGAAUAUUGGUCAAUGGACGAGAGUCUGAACCAGCCAAGUAGCGUGUAGGAUGACUGCCCUAUGGGUUGUAAACUUCUUUUAUAUGGGAAUAAAAUGUUCCACGUGUGGGUUUUUGUAUGUACCAUAUGCAUAAGGAUCGGCUAACUCCGUUCCAGCAGCCGCGGGAAUACGGAGGAUCCGAGCGUUAUCCGGAUUUAUUGGGUUUAAAGGGAGCGUAGGUGGAUUGUUAAGUCAGUUGUGAAAGUUUGCGGCUCAACCGUAAAAUUGCAGUUGAUACUGGCAGUCUUGAGUACAGUAGAGGGGGGCGGAAUUCGUGGUGUAGCGGUGAAAUGCUUAGAGAUCACGAAGAACUCCGAUUGCGAAGGCAGCUCACUGGACUGCAACUGACACUGAGGCUCGAAAGUGUGGGUAUCAAACAGGAUUAGAUACCCUAGUAGUC